rnacentral:rRNA from 1 species
GACGAACGCUGGCGGCGUGCUUAACACAUGCAAGUCGAACGAUGAAGCUAGAGCUUGCUCUGGUGGAUUAGUGGCGAACGGGUGAGUAACACGUGAGUAACCUGCCCCGAACUCUGGGAUAACUGCUGGAAACGGUAGCCAAUACCGGAUAUGACCAAUGAAGGCAUCUUCUGUUGGUGGAAAGAAUUUCGGUUCGGGAUGGACUCGCGGCCUAUCAGCUUGUUGGUGAGGUAACGGCUCACCAAGGCGACGACGGGUAGCCGGCCUGAGAGGGUGAUCGGCCACACUGGGACUGAGAUACGGCCCAGACUCCUACGGGAGGCAGCAGUGGGGAAGAUUGCACAAUGGGCGCAAGCCUGAUGCAGCGACGCCGCGUGAGGGAUGACGGCCUUCGGGUUGUAAACCUCUUUCAGCAUCGACGAAGCGAAAGUGACGGUAGGUGCAGAAGAAGGACCGGCCAACUACGUGCCAGCAGCCGCCGUAA